rnacentral:rRNA from 1 species
GAAUUUUGGACAAUGGGGGCAAACCUGAUCCAGCCAUCCCGCGUGUGCGAUGAAGGCCUUCGGGUUGUAAAGCACUUUUGGCAGGGAAGAAAAGGCUCUGGCUAAUACCUGGAGCUGCUGACGGUACCUGCAGAAUAAGCCCCGGCUCACUACGUGCGAGCAGCAGAGGUAGUACGCAGGGUGCAAGCGUUAAUCGGAAUUACUGGGCGUAAAGCGUGCGCAGGCGGUUCGGCAAGAAGGAUGUGAAAUCCCAGGGCUUAACCUUGGAACUGCAUUCUUAACUGCCGGGCUAGAGUAUGGCAGAGGGGGGUAGAAUUCCGCGUGUAGCAGUGAAAUGCGUAGAGAUGCGGAGGAAUACCGAUGGCGAAGGCAGCCCCCUGGGAUAAUACUGACGCUCAUGCACGAAAGCGUGGGGAGCAAAC